GUUGCUUGAUGUUUCUGUUGUUUCAGCCUUUUUUAAUGUACAUUGCGUUCGGACUUAAAAUUCGUUAAAAACUGAUUAUUUUAAAAGUUGCAUCGUCACAUCAAACCAUUUGUGGCUGUUGUCGAUGUUAUUGAUUGGAAUUUACCGGUGGCAUCAUCAUUUACAUCAUUCUGUUUUAAUGUUAUUUAUGUGGGCCCCGAGUGACAUGUGUAAAUAUUCAUUAACUAUAUAGCAUAAGGUUUCUCGUUAAUCAGUUCCUCGGCAUAUUCUUGAUUGGUCCAGCAAACACGUAGCCCAGUUGCGUACUGUAGACCAGGACAUCUCCAAUUUCUGGAGCUGUGCACCCAUAUUUUCUUAUGCCGGAGUAAGUGUCCGCCCCUCAUUCCACAUCGAUCGGAUUAUUUCCUUUUGGGCCAGGGUCAGCAAAGGCUUAGUUUCUAAAACAUCUUGUGUUGUCUGAGGAGAUGCAUAUGGGCAGUUCUUCGAUUAUCAAUGUAUUUACCUUCAGACUACAAGUACUGUUUGUGCGGCUGGGGAACUUGUGAAGUGGUAAAUCCCGCGACUGAAGACCCAGUCGAACGCUGCAUACAAAAUCUUUGACAUCGUCCUAGAUUGGCUUACUAUGGCCCGCAACAUUCUGAACCUUUCGACCGUUAUUCGUACCAUCACCAUUGGUACAAAUACCAAAUCCCACAAAAAAGCUGGGGUGGUUACGGCCUCUAUGUUGAGGGAUGCCUCGUUCAACUAAGACGCCCCGUGCAGUAAGGUAUGGUGCCGUCGUUGCAUCUCCGGCAACGAGUUAAGGACGGGCAGUCGACUAGCAAUUUCUUCGAUACCCCGACGCUUCUCUCUUAUACUGAAAAACGCCUACCUGCGGAAACUCUCACAGGCACUAAGGGCAUGAUCUUCUUAGUAUAGCAGAUUUGCUUCUCUGUCUCCUUUCAGGGGGUGCUGAACUGAGGCUUCUGUUGUAUCUAUGGCCUAGUCUGCUGGGCCUGCGUUGGAUUGGGCGCAGGGGUCUGUUAGCGCUUCUUGCUGUUGGACGGGCAGGUGAGUCUGGGCUACGAUACAACCCAACAUCGAUUCAUGCGAGCUAACCUAAAACUAAAUCUCUGUCUUUGAUUUCUCGUUUUAAACCCUCCACCAUUCUAUGGAGGGUAUGUUAACUUUGUCAUUCAAUUUGUUACUCCUCGAAAUACUCAUGUCAGACCCAACAAAGUAUAUAUAUUCUUGAUCAGCGUAAAAUUCUGAGUCGGUUUAGCGAUGUCAGUCUGUCUGUUGUACUCACCAUAGGUCCACGUUUUCGUAUAGCCCCCAUAUAAAGGUACCUCCCUAUAUUCGGUAUUUUGAUGAUUAUAGCGACAUUAUUCACCGGAAUUGAUUCGAAUUUGAUAUUUGAAGUUCCUAAUGGAUACUGCCGCCUAAAACAGAAAUUGUCUGUGCAGGUCCACGUCUUCCUAUAUCCCCCAUAUAACGGUACCUCCCAAUAUUCGGUAUUUUGAUGAUUUUAGCGUCAUUAUUCACCGUAGUAGUUUCAAAUUACGUAUCUAGAAUUCGUAAUUGGUACUACAGUCGGUGACACAAAAUUUUUUGUGCAGGUAUUUUGACGGUUUUAGGUACAAUACUCACCGAAGUUGUUAGAAAUGUCGUAUUUGAAAUUCGUAAUGAAUACUACAGACUGUGACAGAAAAUUGUCUAUGCAGGUCCAGGUCUUCGUAUAGCUCCGAUAUAACGGUACCUCCCUAUAUACGGUAUUUUGAAGAUGCUAAAUAUACCCGUUUUUAAUAUGGUAAUGGCUUAUAACAAACAAUGCCUAUGUAGGUCCACGUCGUAAAGACACCAAUAAAACUGCUAUGUUUGGUAUUUUUAAGAUUUAAAGAGAAUUUUUAACGGAUUUUUUUUUUGUUUUAAAAAUAAAUUUCCAAGUCUAAUUUUGAGUGAAGUUAAUUUCAAUAUUCUUCAUUAAAGCUAAUCGAUCUCGCUUUAACAGAUCAAAUGCUCCCACAAAGUUAGUCCCGUUCUCAGAAAAUAUACAAGACGGACAAUCUCGCCGACGUAUAAACCUAAAAAAGCGGAAGUAAAGGCAUAUGUCGAGAAGUCGCUUGUGGGUACCAUAUGUAUAGCCUUAGUUGGGUUUGCUUUUUGUGUAUUAAACAAAUUCGACAUUUGAGCCAUGUGGUAGCAUUAUUGGUUGCCGUUCGCUGUAUGUAAGGACUGGCGAUUGUACCAAUCGUCCAUGUAAUCACAUUAAUCUCUAGAGAUUUACGUGUCUACACAAGAACAAGGACAGGUUGCAGGCCUCGAGCUGGAAAUCCAAUCAGGACACAUUACCCCAAGGUCCUAAGAGGUUAACUCUGGUUGAAUAUUUCAAGCGCCAACAGCAAAUAAAGGAAGAAAACCUGGCCCGGUUUUCCUCCACGGAAAAACCUAAACACCACAAAUGAGGCAAAUUGUACGCCUGCUACUACAACCGGCAGCCCUCAUAGAAGCUGUGAAUGCCAAUCUCCAUCAUCUUUGCAAAAAGCCACACAAAUCUGACUACAAAUAGAAGCGCUGGAAUCUCAGAUGAAAUGUAACAAUUAAAAAAGAAGCUGCGUUUCGGACAUAAUUAUAGGUUAAUUUAAUUUUCCGUUAUAGGUUGAAGUACCCAUUACGAACUUCAAAUACGAAAUUUGACACACUUCCGGUGUAUAAUGUUGCGAAAAUGCUGGAAAUACCGAAUAUCUCGUGGUAGCGUUAUAUGGGUGCAAUACUAAAACGUAGACCUAUAUAGGUUGUAGUACGAACUUCAAAAACGAAAUUUGACGCACAUCCAGUGUAUAAUGUUGCGAAAAUGCUGCAAAUACCGAAUAUCUCGUGGUAGCGUUUUAUGGGUGCAAUACUAAAACGUAGACCUAUAUAGGCAGUUCUCUUUCAGGGGUUAAGUACUCAGAGAGAACUCCUGGUUUGGAUUUUCAGACUAUUCCAUUGAAAAAUGUGCUAAAAUCAUCAAAAUACCGAAUACCGGGGUACCAUUGUAUGGGAGAUAUACGAUAUCGUGGAACUAUACAGAAAUUUCCCUUUCAGAGGGUAAAGUAUUCGCAGAGAACGUCUUCUCUAGAAUUUAUGACAAUGCCAUUAAAAAUGAGAUUAACAUCAUCAAAAUAUCGAAUGGAGGUACAGUUAUAUGGGAGAUAUACGAUAUCGUGGACCUAUAUAGACAAUACUCUUUCAGGGUGUGGAGUACUCAGAAGGAACUACUUGUAUGGAUUUUAAACCAAUUACAAUUUAAAAUGUGGCUAAAAUCAUCAAAAUGUCGAAUAUCUGUAGGUGCAGUUAUAUGGGGGAUAUACGAUAUCGUAGACCAAUAUAGACAAUUCUUUUUCAAGGGGUUAAAAAAGAACCCCUUGUGUAGAAUUUUAGACAAUUCCAUUGAAAAAUGUGGUUAAAAUCAUCAAAAUAAAUGUGGUUAAAAUCAUCAAAAUACCGCAUAUCGGGAGAUGUACGAUAUCGUGAACCUAUAUAGACAAUUCUCCUCCAGGGAGUAAAGUACCCGCAAAGAACUCCUUUUGUAGAAUUUAAAAAUUGUGCCUAUAUUCAUCCAAAUACCGAAUAUUGAAAGGUACCGUUAUGUGGGGAACAUUCGAUAUCGUGGACCGAUAUAGCCCAUCUUCGAACUUGACCUACCUGCACACAAAAAACUGAUCUGUGUUUUAGGUAGCGUGAUUACAACAGAAGGGCAGGGACAGGUCUACAUUUAAGAAGGGACAGGGCUAAAUCGUCUUAGAAUUUUACGUUGAAUAAGAAUAUAUAUACUUUGUUGGAUCUAAAAUAUUAUUUCGAUGAGUUACAAACUGAAUGACGAACUUAAUAUACCCUUCAUGCAAUGUAUGAUGGAGGGUAUAACAAUUCACGAAACAGCCAAAUUGAAUAAAUAAAAAUACAAAAAUAAAAUUGUUCCGAGUUUCUACUAUUUUAUAUUUCAUAAGGAAUGCAAAUUGUUAUGGUCCACCUACAUCGACACUCUGGUAGGGUUCCGGCACACUCAGUCAUGGCAUUUCGUUCCGGGGGAUUCUCAACCCUUACCACCAGCAGCUGAAAUCUGUUCCCACACAUUGCCCAACCAACCUUGACCCUUUGUUCCAAAAACACAUAUAAAUUUUAAAAGGGUCCCGAAUUCCUACAGACGCUUAUCUCACGCGAAACCUACAUCCUAGUAUCCUCUCUCACAAAUAGAAAUCAGCACAUCAUAUUGCUAUUUAGGCAAUAAAACAAACAUUUAUUUGAGAUUUUGUCAUCGUUACUUAACCUAUAAACACAUAAUCAUUUAGGAUCACAAAAACUGAACUACUAAUACCGCGGAAAUCAAUUUUGUACAGCUGGGAAUCACUAACUCAGAAUAAAAGCUUUUUCUAGACGCGAAAGCCAAUGCGGCUUCACAACACACAAAGACAUAACCUACCUAACUAAAAAAGCUCUCUUAAGCGGUGGACGAAAUUUCAAUAGUCAUGGGAGUUUUUUUAUAUUCGCUAAGGGUUAAUCCCACAUUCCCGAAAUUAAAAGCACCGGCAUAAAUAAUCCUCACAAAAUAAAACUUAAGCACUAGGAUACGAAAUAUGGACAACAGAAAUUUAAGAGUUAGACUACAUCAAGUUUGAAUUAGUAUUAUAUUUCGUAUUAUAUUUAUAUUUUUUCGUAGGUAAAAAACCUGAAUUAAAUCAUCAAUGGGUAGCUGGGGAAUAUGCUAACUAGCUAGUGUACUUAGUUAUUCCGUAUAUGAAAGUUAUCUGUAAUUAUAAAUACGGGUAUUUCCCAGUCAUGUCAUUUGUACACGAAAAAAAUUCUGCUCUCCCCUCGUUUAGAUUAUUGAGGAGGACAGUUGAUUUAUUUUUAAUACUUCUGGUGCAAACUAAAAAGAAAAGGAACAUAAAAAACCCGACCACCAUCAGUAUUAGAUACAUUAAAUUUGCACAAUCACCACUUACUUAAAUGUUUUUCUGCCCAAAACAUCGAUUAAAAACGAACUAUUUUCAACAAAAUAAACCUACUUUCGAACUUAUUUAUUUUUGUAACAUUUACUUCUUCUUUUUUUCUAUUUUGGCGAAAACGAAGUCAAAAAAAAAAAUCCAACAUCCAGGUUAGGAACGGCACUUAAAUGUCCAGCGUUUUCCCAACUCGGCCUCCUUUAUACCCUCGGUCAAAAUGUCGGAAUUUUCCCUAUUUUCAAAAAAAAUUCUCUUUUCAUAGAAGAUUUAUUUAUUUUCCUUUUUCCACCGGUUCUAAUAAAUCCUACGAUAUUAAUCAGUGUUGUAUUUACUUUACUGUCAUCAUUCCACAUUGGCUGACAAUAAUACAACCCUGAAGUGGCAUCACCUUUUUUUGGUCCGGAAUGUUGUACUGACCGUCUCCGCCUUAUUUUUGAGACAGUGGCUGAUAACUCGGUUGGUGCGACGAACUGUCGACAGUUUUUUAAAGAAAAUACAAUUAAUUGACCUAUAAGUCACAUGCAACAAUACUUCCCCAUUUUGAUUUCAGUCAAUCAAAAUGGUGAUGUUCGUGACUUAUUUGUCUGUUUUUGUUUUAUAUAAUUUAUAAAUUUGCCUAAAGUGAUGGAAACCCGUGGUAAAAAAAAAUUAGGGGGACUUACUGUCGGCCACGCAAUAGAAAGGAAAUGGAAGAAGUCAUUUUCAGAAUAUGAAAUUCAGGUAUUUAAUAUAAGGACGGAUUUUCCAAUGGACAUGUUCGGUUUAUUAACAUUUUAUUACCCAUAAGCGUUAGUAUUUUCGGAGCAGUACUGGUGGUGUAUAAUCUCUUGUUAUGAACACAAAGCGGUUGGCGUGGCUAAAUAGGCAGGCAGUGGAAACCGCAUUCUAUGUUUCAAAAUGUUAACAUUUGUGGCACAGUGUUUAUUUUCGUUUCUGCUUGUGCAACUAAAUGGAAUUCAUCUUACCGUUUUAUAAUAGUGUGCAUCGGUACUAACACCCCAUAUGUAUGUUGUUGACACACAAUAUACCAAACUGAUUUACCUUCAUUCCUUAAAUCGGAUCCGCAUCUUAGUAAUUUUUUGGAAGAGGAGGUGUGUUACCAAAAAAGAGGACAUCCAUAGAAAGUUGAGUUUUACAAACAAUUUUUUUGUAGUUUUGUAUGGCAGGUACAGACUGACAACAUAUAGUGACUUCACUGUGACGAAGACAAUUGUUAACCAAUUGUUGCCAAAUCACUUUUUUCGUCAAACAAAAAUUAUUCAUCUGUGAAAACCAAAAAAUGUGGUAUUACGAAUAAUAAACUGGAGCAAAGAUAAAAAACACACAAAAAAGAAUCUUGUACAAAAAUGUAUCUUAAAUUGUGGAAUUCUGUUUAAUCAAUUAAUCAUUAAUUAACCUCUUAA